UAGGGAAUCUUCCGCAAUGGACGCAAGUCUGACGGAGCAACGCCGCGUGAGUGAAGAAGGAUUUCGGUUCGUAAAACUCUGUUGUUAGAGAAGAACAGCGCAUAGAGUAACUGUUAUGCGUGUGACGGUAUCUAACCAGAAAGCCACGGCUAACUACGUGCCAGCAGCCGCGGUAAUACGUAGGUGGCAAGCGUUGUCCGGAUUUAUUGGGCGUAAAGCGAGCGCAGGCGGUCAAUUAAGUCUGAUGUGAAAGCCCCCGGCUCAACCGGGGAGGGUCAUUGGAUACUGGUUGACUUGAGUGCAGAAGAGGAGAGUGGAAUUCCAUGUGUAGCGGUGAAAUGCGUAGAUAUAUGGAGGAACACCAGUGGCGAAGGCGACUCUCUGGUCUGUAACUGACGCUGAGGCUCGAAAGCGUGGGUAGCAAACAGG
rnacentral:rRNA from 1 species